CUGAGGUUGUGCUCAGUGGUAGAGCACUUGCCUGGUAUGUGUGGGGCACUGGGUUCGAUUUUCAGCACCGCAUA
rnacentral:tRNA from 1 species